UACGAAGGGGGCUAGCGUUGUUCGGAAUUACUGGGCGUAAAGCGCGCGUAGGCGGGUCUUUAAGUCAGGGGUGAAAUCCUGGAGCUCAACUCCAGAACUGCCUUUGAUACUGAGGAUCUUGAGUUCGGGAGAGGUGAGUGGAACUGCGAGUGUAGAGGUGAAAUUCGUAGAUAUUCGCAAGAACACCAGUGGCGAAGGCGGCUCACUGGCCCGAUACUGACGCUGAGGCACGAAAGCGUGGGGAGCAAACAGG
rnacentral:rRNA from 1 species